rnacentral:rRNA from 1 species
GACGAACGCUGGCGGCGUGCUUAACACAUGCAAGUCGAACGGAAAGGCCCUGCUUUUGUGGGGUGCUCGAGUGGCGAACGGGUGAGUAACACGUGAGUAACCUGCCCUUGACUUUGGGAUAACUUCAGGAAACUGGGGCUAAUACCGGAUAGGAUCUCCUGCUGCAUGGUGGUGGUUGGAAAGUUUCGGCGGUUGGGGAUGGUCUCGCGGCUUAUCAGCUUGUUGGUGGGGUAGUUGCUUACCAAGGGUUUGACGGGUAGCCGGCCUGAGAGGGUGACCGGCAAAAAUGGGACUGAGAUAGGGACCAGAAUGCAACGGGAGGCAGCAGGGGGGAAUAUUGCAAAAUGGGAGGAAGCCUGAUGAAGCAACGCCGCGUGCGGGAUGAAGGGCUUCGGGUUGUAAACCGAUUUAGACUGAGACGAAGAGUGAGUGACGGUAAUGGGUAAAGAAGCACCGGCUAACUACGUG